rnacentral:rRNA from 1 species
GACGAACGCUGGCGGCGUGCUUAACACAUGCAAGUCGAACGGAAAGGCCCUGCUUUUGUGGGGUGCUCGAGUGGCGAACGGGUGAGUAACACGUGAGUAACCUGCCCUUGACUUUGGGAUAACUUCAGGAAACUGGGGCUAAUACCGGAUAGGAGCUCCUGCUGCAUGGUGGGGGUUGGAAAGUUUCGGCGGUUGGGGAUGGACUCGCGGCUUAUCAGCUUGUUGGUGGGGUAGUGGCUUACCAAGGCUUUGACGGGUAGCCGGCCUGAGAGGGUGACCGGCGACAUUGGGACUGAGAUACGGCCCAGACUCCUACGGGAGGCAGCAGUGGGGAAUAUUGCACAAUGGGCGGAAGCCUGAUGCAGCAGCGCCGCGUGCGGGAUAACGGCCUUCGGGUUGUAAACCGCUUUCGCCUGUGACGAAGCGUGAGUGACGGUAAUGGGUAAAGAAGCACCGGCUAACUACGUG